AGAGUUUGAUCAUGGCUCAGGAUGAACGCUAGCUACAGGCUUAACACAUGCAAGUCGAGGGGCAGCAUGUUGGUUGCUUGCAACCAAUGAUGGCGACCGGCGCACGGGUGAGUAACGCGUAUCCAACCUACCCUUGUCCAUCGGAUAACCCGUCGAAAGGCGGCCUAACACGAUAUGCGGUUCUCAGCAGGCAUCUAACGAGAACGAAAUGUGAAGGAGAAGGAUGGGGAUGCGUCUGAUUAGCUUGUUGGCGGGGUAACGGCCACAGGCGACGAUCAGUAGGGUUCUGAGAGGAAGGUCCCCANAUUGGAACUGAGACACGGUCCAAACUCAUACGGGAGGCA
rnacentral:rRNA from 1 species